AAUAUUGGUCAAUGGACGCAAGUCUGAACCAGCCAUGCCGCGUGAAGGAUGAAGGUCCUCUGGAUUGUAAACUUCUUUUAUAGGGGGCGAAAAAAGGUUUUUCUAAAUCACUUGACAGUACCCUAUGAAUAAGCACCGGCUAACUCCGUGCCAGCAGCCGCGGUAAUACGGAGGGUGCAAGCGUUAUCCGGAUUCACUGGGUUUAAAGGGUGCGUAGGCGGGUAGGUAAGUCAGAGGUGAAAUCCUGGAGCUUAACUCCAGAACUGCCUUUGAUACUAUCUAUCUUGAAUAUGGUGGAGGUAAGCGGAAUAUGUCAUGUAGCGGUGAAAUGCAUAGAUAUGACAUAGAACACCUAUUGCGAAGGCAGCUUACUACGCCUAUAUUGACGCUGAGGCACGAAAGCGUGGGGAUCAAACAGG
rnacentral:rRNA from 1 species